CGCCAUGAUUCUGAGGCCUCCCCAGCUAUGUGGAACUAAACAAGGGCAUGAAAAUCAGGCAGGAUCCAUCCCAGGAUUCAAGGCUUGCUCCAGCCCCUAACAGCAGGAUGAUUUGGGCCACUAGGCACUCCUGCCGAGUUCAAAGGAGAGGGCGCUUCAGUCAGACAGCAAAUGAAAGCAAGAAACUGAAGCAUACAGAGAUAAGCAACCCGCCAGGCUUCAAGUGCCAGAACUGGGAUCCAACCCAAGCAAUCUCAUUCCUCAACUUUAUAGUGAUUACAAUUAUUGAUGUUGUUAUGUAUUCUCAAUUACUAAGGGGAAAGAAGAACACAUUAUUUCCUAGUCAAAGUCUCCACAGCCGAAACAAGUGUAAAGUUGUUGCGGUUAAGCAGGGCCCUGAUUAUAGUAAGAU